UGUGAUCUACCCAUGUCCAGGUUGAAGGUGCGGUAAAACGCACUGGAGGACCGAACCCACGUACGUUGAAAAGUGCGGGGAUGAGGUGUGGGUAGCGGAGAAAUUCCAAACGAACUUGGAGAUAGCUGGUUCUCUCCGAAAUAGCUUUAGGGCUAGCCUCGGAAUUGAGAAUGAUGGAGGUAGAGCACUGUUUGGACUAGGGGCCCAUCUCGGGUUACCGAAUUCAGAUAAACUCCGAAUGCCAUUCAUUCAUAUCCGGGAGUCAGACUGUGAGUGAUAAGAUCCAUAGUCGAAAGGGAAACAGCCCAGACCACCAGCUAAGGUCCCAAAAUAUAUGUUAAGUGGAAAAGGAUGUGGGGUUGCACAGACAACUAGGAUGUUGGCUUAGAAG
rnacentral:rRNA from 1 species